GACGAACGCUGGCGGCGUGCUUAACACAUGCAAGUCGAGCGGAGCGGCGAACGGGUGAGUACCGCGUGAAUAACUGCCCCCCUCUCGGGCAUAACAGUUGGAAACGACUGCUAAUACCAGAUAGUGGGGGGGGAUUCGCGUCCUAUCAUCUUGUUGGUGGGGUAGUGGCCGACCAAGGCGACGACGGGUCACCGGCCUGAGAGGGCGACCGGCCAUAUUGGGCGGAGAUACGGCCCAAACUCCUACGGGAGGCAGCAGUGGGGAAUAUUGCACAAUGGGGGAAACCCUGAUGCAGCAACGCGCGUGCGGGAUGACGGCCUUCGGGUUGUAAACCGCUUUCAGCCAUGACGCGGUAGUGGCAGAAGAAGCACCGGCUAACUACGUGCCAGCAGCCGCGGUAAUAC
rnacentral:rRNA from 1 species